CAGAGGGACCCUGGAGAAAGAACGGCACUGCACACCGCUCCCACUUUGCAAACUUCUCCAGGUGGUGAAAGAGUCCAGACCCGGGCAGGAAGGAGUCUUCUCUCUCCAGAAGUUAAGCUUAAGUCCAAGGCUGUUUGAGAAGGAAGAAUACAUUUUACAGUUUGACAGUGACUUUUAUAAAAGUGCAGAUAAGGAUGGGCACCCGGAGGACGCCCAGGACCGUGUGUGGCUGGAUUCGCAUCCACUUGGAAGUUGAU
ensembl:lncRNA